UACAGAGGGUGCAAUCGUUGUUCGGAAUUAUUGGGCGUAAAGGGAGUGUCGGCGGUUUCCUAAGUCUUCUGUGAAAUCUACGGGCUUAGCCUGUAACGUGCAGAGGAAACUGGGAGACUUGAGUGUCGGAGAGGAUAGGGGAAUACCCAGUGUAGAGGUGAAAUUCGUAGAGAUUGGGUGGAACACCAGUGGCGAAGGCGGCUCACUGGCCCGAUACUGACGCUGAGGCACGAAAGCGUGGGGAGCAAACAGG
rnacentral:rRNA from 1 species